GACCCGUUAGCUCAGUUGGUAGAGCAACUCCCUUUUAAGGAGUGGGCCCUAGGUUCGAAUCCUAGACGGGUCA
rnacentral:tRNA from 1 species